rnacentral:rRNA from 1 species
AUUGAACGCUGGCGGCAGGCCUAACACAUGCAAGUCGAGCGGAUGAAGGGAGCUUGCUCCUGGAUUCAGCGGCGGACGGGUGAGUAAUGCCUAGGAAUCUGCCUGGUAGUGGGGGAUAACGUCCGGAAACGGGCGCAAAUACCGCAUACGUCCCGAGGGAGAAAGUGGGGGAUCUUCGGACCUCACGCUAUCAGAUGAGCCUAGGUCGGAUUAGCUAGUUGGUGGGGUAAAGGCCCACCAAGGCGACGAUCCGUAACUGGUCUGAGAGGAUGAUCAGUCACACUGGAACUGAGACACGGUCCAGACUCCUACGGGAGGCAGCAGUGGGGAAUAUUGGACAAUGGGCGAAAGCCUGAUCCAGUCAUGCCGCGUGUGUGAAGAAGGUCUUCGGAUUGUAAAGCACUUUAAGUUGGGAGGAAGGGCAGUAAGUUAAUACCUUGCUGUUUUGACGUUACCAACAGAAUAAGCACCGGCUAACUUCGUG